CGUGCCGCCUCCUUGCUGUUAAGGUACCCAGCAACCUAAAAAACAGAAGCAUGAGUUCUUCCAUAUCGAAAUUCACAAACGAAAAAUAGAAGCAACAAUCACAUACGAAUCCAAAUCACGAUACGGACUACCGAGUGGGCUAUGAUGGAAGUGUUCGCUGAUGGGCAGGUGGGUGUAACUUUCAGGAUCUCUGCUUUUAUCUUUCAUUAAAUUUUCCCCCCUUAAUUAUCAGACAUGGAAAAUGUGGUCGACCGUCAUGAACCAAGAACGGAACUUUUCACAAUAACUAUGAAAUAAAAGUCCAACAACGUAGCAUGCAAAAUUAAUUCUUAUUAUCAUCGAAUAUUUUGGGCACCAUCCUUAAAUUUAUCAACUUAAGGAUAAUGGGCAGACACCAUUCGACGAAAACAAUUCAGAAAAUUGAAAAAAAGAAUAUGAAAGCAAUGCCCGCAUUAUCUGCAUACCUCGGACUCGGAGUCGUCGAUAUCUGAUAGGCUUUCUGAGACAUCGCCAUCCGCAGUUGACAUUGCAGCUUGCCGCCUUCUUCUGUAAACUCUCGGUUCUUUUGAAUUUUAUGUAGUUUUAGGUCUUGCGGUUUCCAGUUUUCGUGGAACUAGAAUUUACAUCGACAGUAAUGUCGGCGACCAAACGAACCGACCUAGUUCGGUUUCCUUUUUAGAAUUGGAGUGGUCGUACUGUUCUCUUGUUCAAAUCCAAUCCGUCCACAUUUGGUUUUGAUUUUUCAAAACAAAGAUUCUAGUUUCUUUAUUUUACUACUUUUUAUUUUGUUGAAAAAGGUAAUUACAUAAUAAGCCCAAACUCUAAAGGGCUACUACAAGUAAGAGGCCCAAAAUACUAGGGCAAAUUAAACGGGGAACCAGAAAACUCAGCCCAAUCCGAAAAACAUAUGAUGAUUUUUUUUUUUUUAGUAUAACGAUAUAUUUUACAUUAAGGGGAGGGAGAGUUUGGCUAAACCACACAAUGGUCAUCUUAAUUUGGUAACGAAUUGCCUUGCCAAUCAGUAUUUUACUUACAAGUGAAGUACUGAUUGGCAAGGCAAAGUAACUUAGUUUAAAGAAAACAGCGAGAGAUUUUUUUUAUUUGCCACCUUAACUAUUAUCCAAGUUUCAAUUUGUUACCUGAAAGACAGUACCAAACUCAAAAAAUAAAAAAAUAAAUAAAUAAAUGUUUUGUUUUAGUUUGCCCCUACCAUGAAUUCAUUCAAAAUCUCCACCAAACGAAAAUACUCAUUUACAUUGAAUCACCUACCUUGCACAUACCUCUUAUAUGAGUGCAUUUUUGCUCACCACCAUUUAGUGUGGUCUAUGCUCACCACCUUAUUUAUCACCAUUAGAUGAGUUUGAAUUUCGAGAUUUGUGUUUAUCUACUACACGAAUCUCGAAAUUCAAACUCAUCUAA
rnacentral:lncRNA from 1 species